UGGCUCAGAGUGAACGCUGGCGGCGUGCUUAACACAUGCAAGUCGAACGAGAACGGAUUAUAGCUUGCUAUAAUUGUCAGCUAAGUGGCGCACGGGUGAGUAAUAUAUAGAUAACCUGCCCUCUAGAAAGGAAUAACAGUUGGAAACGACUGCUAAUGCCCUAUAUGCCUUUAAUACAUAAGUAUGCAAGGGAAACGCUUUAUCGCCAAAGGAUCGGCCCGCGUUGGAUUAGGUAGUUGGUGGGGUAAUGGCCUACCAAGCCGACGAUCCAUAGCUGGUUUGAGAGGAUGAUCAGCCACACUGGGACUGAGACACGGCCCAGACUCCUACGGGAGGCAGCAGUGGGGAAUCUUAGACAAUGGGGGAAACCCUGAUCUAGCCAUGCCGCGUGAGCGAUGAAGGCCUUAGGGUUGUAAAGCUCUUUCAGUGGGGAAGAUAAUGACUGUACCCACAGAAGAAGCCCCGGCUAACUCCGUG
rnacentral:rRNA from 1 species